rnacentral:rRNA from 1 species
AUUGAACGCUGGCGGCAGGCCUAACACAUGCAAGUCGAACGAGUGGCGGACGGGUGAGUCAUGUCUGGGAAACUGCCCGAUGGAGGGGGUUACCUACUGGAAACGGUAGCUAAUACCGCAUACCAUCGGAUGUGCCCAGAUGGGAUUAGCUAGUGGGGGGGGUAAAGGCUCACCUAGGCGACGGUCCCUAGCUGGUCUGAGAGGAUGACCAGCACAACUGGAACUGAGACACGGCCCAUCUUCCUACGGGAGGCAGCAGUGGGGAACAUGGGACAAGGGGGGCAAGCCGGAGGCAGCCAUGCCGCGUGGAUGAAGAAGGCCUUCGGUUUGUAAAGUACUUUCAGCGAGGAGGCGGUACUCGCAGAAGAAGCACCGGCUAACUCCGUGCCAGCAGCCGCGGUAAUAC